rnacentral:misc_RNA from 1 species
CUCUGAAAUAAACCAAGCCUCUAUAUAAGGGGUACUAUAUUGUUUUAGGCUAUUAAUUAAUUAGUUGUCUUCCUUUUUCAAAAGCUUCUUGCCUUUUGCCUUCUCCUCUUCAUUUUCUAUAGAUAGUGAAACAGAGAGCUUCCUCCACUUUGUUCAAAACCACAAACGCAAAGCAUUCGUUCUCCACUCUAUCCACAAACUCAAAUUGCUUGAUCCCAUUAGUGACAUGUACUAUCUCAAUGCUCCUCUCUUUCUCUCAUAUGCUUUGGUCAUGUCUCUUGGUCGUCCAUCCCCCUCGUCGUUUAGAGAAGCUUCUAGACUUUUUCUCAUCCCAUCUUGGUCCCCACUUCUGCUCUCAUGAUGCUCUAGUCUACUUCCUUCUUCCUUCUUCAUUUUUCCUCCUCGUCAUUUCACCAUUAGCCAGAACCCAUAUUCUCAUGCUAUGAAACGUUUCUCAUCUUGGUCAUUGAUUCUCUCUCUAUGAACCAAACACAAUCCCUUUGAUUCCUCUCUUGCUAAUUUGUUGUGGCAACAAUGACCAAGGCGAGAUCUAAAACAACCACCACACCCAUUUCGAAGAAGGCCAAGAUUUUUGAAGGAUUUGAGAUAAACUAGUUGAUCAUAAUCAUAGAGGUAAAUUAUUGAAUUUGUUCAUAUAUAAUUAGAGAGAAUUUCAUGUGUUGUUCUUGAUUCUUUGUGUUAUUGUUGUUUGUAAUUGAAAAUUAAUGUAAUUUCAAUUUUUUGAGUUAUUUUGAUGAUUUGAACUAGAAUUUGGGAAUUUGAUUGGGAAUUAGGUAAUUUGCCUCAAGGAUUUGGGAAUUCAAUUGACAUUUGAAUAAAACACUUAAAAUCGACAUACUAAACCAAAUGAAAAUUUUGGUUUUAGUUUAAUUUAAUUUCAUUGAUCAUUUCUAUUUAGUUUGGUUUAAAAAUCUUCAAUAUUAGACAUUGCAGUCCAAUUUGGUUUAGAAUCAAACAAAUCAUUUGCAUAACUCUAGGCAGCAACUGCUGGAUUGAUGGAUGCUACAAUGAUAGACACUUUUAGUGAUAAUAAUUCACAUUUUGGGUUGUAGGGGUAUUAGUUUUUAUUUUAGAAUAAUACCAAAACUCCGAUUAAUAGUAUUAGUCCUCUUAAUCUUAACCAAAAUAGGAAUCCAACUCAAUUGAGGAACAACACUGCAAUUGGAAUUCUACUCUAAUAUAGGAAAUAAUCAUUUGUCCUAUUGUGAAAUAUUUCUCCCAUUUUAUAUGGUUAUUUAAUUAUUUCAAUUAUUUUAUUUAAUUACACAUUGUAAGGAAUAUUUAAUUAGGUCAUGAGCUGAUCUAACACAUAGGCAAAUGCACAGAUUUUGAGUUUUGUUUAUCUUAGCUAAUUUCACUACUUGGAACAUGUUCGGAGUGUCCAAAACCACUAAGAUCCAAGUAAACAUGAAUAUCUUUUGGGAUGGUCUACUGGAUGUCCAAUUUGGCCAAAAACUCAACUUGAGUGUUGAUAUGGUAUUGUCAAUCUGAAUGCACUUUUGAGAUGUCUAGAGGCUAUUGAUGAUGGACCCUAACUCUAUUUGUCAAGACGCUUCUCUAGUUGCCAUAAAUUAAUUGAUUUAAUCUUGAUCGUCUGUGGUUGUUUUUCAUCAACUAAUAUUUGAUCAAGGUACGAUUACUGCAAAAACAAAGCUUGAGGGAUGAGGUUCACGAUCGCUGGCUAUGAUUGUCCAAAUAGAUGGUUAGUUGGCUAGGAUUUGACCGAAAAGCUACAGAUUUCUCUCUCCUCUCCUCAUCGAAAAGCUACUCUUUUUGGCCAUCAAUGGAGGAAUUGUGCAAAUACUCUCCAAUACCAAGUAUUUGCUUUACCUACUAAAAAUUUUGAGAUGUGGCAACUCAUGGCUACACUGUGCACUCUAUUGCACCAUAUGUAAGAAUUUUUUUUAUAUCCUACCAAGUAUUACUUAGAAGCACUAUUUUUUUUCUUCUUUUGAAAAUAUUAACUUUAGGCAACAUGAUAGCUUGUUGAACCGACCAAAUUUAGGUUUAAUAAUAUACAAAAUUUGAACUAAUGCUAACCAUAAACUCGUAUAAGUGAUUUAGGAUUUUAGAUGUUCAAUGUAUUUUCUCAUGUUGCUUCUAUAACUCAUUAGUCAUAGAAGCAGGCAUGUAGCACCUUGCUUGCAUGUCUUUGUCUUUCCACUUUGUUAAAGAGUCAUGUUCCUCUUGAAAAGGCCCUUUAGGUAAGGACCAGGAACUUUCAAGUUGAAAAUGUAUCCUAUACACUAAAAAUUCAAAAUAAACUUUAGAUUCUUGAACUAAUCUAAGAAGUUAGGUCCAAUUAGCCUAUUACUAUCAAGUGUAUACCAGCAAGAAU